UAAAGUCCGUUUUAAAACGUAAUCAGUUUUAAUCACCAAAGAGAUACGACUGCAAUUAAUCAACGUAUAUAGAGCAGUGGUCUUCUAUUUCUCAAAAUCAGGUUUACUUAUUCCCAGUAGCCCUCAGAGCUGACGUAUAUGCUGCCAGUACCGUGCAGGUGAACCAGCGCUGAAUGAGAUAAUACAGGAAGAGGAUGCCAGUGUCCUAACCCACCCCCGCACCGCUCCACGGUGUCACCCCCGUCAGCCAUGUUUAAUACUCCCUGAGGAAUACACCCCUCCUUCUCCCCAGAGUGGUAUCACCCAGCUAUCUAUGGAUGUUCAGUACCCCCUACUGGGCUACAGAGAACUCAUCUACUGGCCUGAUUUCUUAACCAAUCAGGCAGAAUCCUUCCUGGUUCCCAGCCCCGGAUGGAGGAAUGCAGGCCAGGCUUCCCAGCAUGACUGUGUGAGACCCCCAUGAGUAACUCCAUUCUCAGGGCCAGUGUGUUCACAGCGCGAACAUAGGUUCUGCUCUUAAUCACAGAAGAAUGGCUUCGAAAACUCUUCAUCAUGCAUUGACGUCACCAAAGAUCCACGUCUGUUCAGUAUUAAAAUUAUUUGGGGAAUACACUGUCAAACUGUCUUUUAGCCUACU